rnacentral:rRNA from 1 species
AUACGGAGGUUGUAAGCGUUAUUCGGAAUCACUGGGCGUAAAGGACGCGUAGGCGGGUUGGCAAGUCAGAUGUGAAAUCCUACAGCUUAACUGUAGAACUGCAUUUGAAACUGCUAACCUAGAGUAUGGGAGGGGGAGAUGGAAUUAGUGGUGUAGGGGUAAAAUCCGUAGAUAUCACUAGGAAUACCGAAAGCGAAGGCGAUCUCCUGGAACAUAACUGACGCUAAGGCGUGAAAGCGUGGGGAGCAAACAGGAUUAGAUACCCCAGUAGUCC